GAAUAAAAUAUUGUGUCACAUCCAAUAACUCGCGUUUCAUAUCUCUUUUUGUGUAGUCUUUUAAAGUUUAUAAAACAUUUUAAAAAUAGAUUUUAACAAAUAGUUAUUCUUUUAUUACAGAAAAAUGACGUUCGUGUGUGAAAUAUGUGGGAAGACAUUUAAAUCGGAGUGGGGGUUAAAGCUUCAUGAUAAGCGCCACAGAGGGACUGGACGAUUCGCCUGUUGUGGAAAUACAUUUUACACAAAGCAGGCGUUCAACAGACACACGUGCAGCAUUCAUGGUGUUGAAAAGCCGUUCCCCUCUGAACAAUGCGGCAAAAAGUUGUCAACGUAAGAUGACCUGAAUCGUCACGUCCGGAGGGAGGUUGCUGCAAAGCAAUUUAUCUUUUCAAUUUGCAAAACAAAACUCCGAGAGAAAAUUGACCUUCAGGCCCACCUUGACACCCACAAUGGAGAGAAAAACUUUGCUUGUGAUAUGUGUGAAAAGAGGUACAGGCACCGCAGUAGUCUAUCAAAGCACAGAUCUGCAAAGCACCGAGCCUAGUCAUCUGUUGUAUGACGAUGAUAUGACCAAGAAUUAUUUUUAAUUCUUACCAAUGUGCCUUGGUUAUUUUUUUUAUUAGUGAAAAUACAGGCUGCCAUACAAUAAUAUAUAGUAUUGCGCGUGUUUUUUUUUCAUCUUACACAUUGUGUUUCAUUGUUCAUCUUGUGUUGUUUUGUUUGAAAUUCCUGUUUUUUAUAUGAUUAUUGUUGUAAUAUGUAUUAUUCUGAUUAAAUUGAUUAUGAUAAUGGUUGAUCUCAUACAAAUUAUUGUGUUCAGUAUUGCUCAUCAGUGAUUACUGUUGAUCUCAGCCGAUUAAUUGUGAUGUAUAUUGAUUAUCUGUGAUUAUUGUUGAUCUUAUCAAAAUCAUUGUAAUUUAUGUUGAUUAUCUGUGAUUAUUGUUGAUCUCAACCGACUAUUUGUGAUUAAUAUAAUCCGUGAUUAUUGUUGAUCUUAUCAAAAUCAUUGUAAUUUAUGUUGAUUAUCUGUGAUUAUUGUUGAUCUCAACCGAUUAUUUGUGAUUUAUAUAAUCCGUGAUUAUUGUUGAUCUUAUCAAAAUCAUUGUAAUUUAUGUUGAUUAUCUGUGAUUAUUGUUGAUCUCAACCGAUUUAUUGUGAUUUAUAUAAUCUGUGAUUAUUGUUGAUUUUAUCAAAGUCUUUGUAAUUUAUGUUGAUAAUCUGUGAUUAUUGUUGAUCUCAACCGAUUAAUUAUGAUUUAUUUUUCUAUGAUUAUUGUUAAUCUUAUCUAAAUUAUUGUAAUUUAUGUUGAUUAUCUGUGAUUAUUGUUGAUCUCAACCGAUUAUUUGUGAUUUAUAUUAUCUGUGAUUAUUGUUGAUCUUGUCAAAAUUAUUAUAAUUUAUGUUGAUUAUCUGUGAUUAUUGUUGAUCUCACCAUAUCCGUUGGAAUAUACAUUUGAGCCGCGCUCUGUGAAAAGGGGGGUUAAUGAAUGUGCGUAAAGUGCUGUCCACACAGGCUAAUAAGGGACGGCACUUUCCGCCUUUAUGGUAUUUUUUGUUAAAAGAAAGUCUUUUCUGAGCAAAAAUCGAGUUUAUCGGGAAGUGUCGUCCCUGAUUAGCCGGUGUGGAAUGCACAGGCUAAUAUCUGACGACACUUCACGCAUUAAAACCCCUUUUCACAAAGCGAGACUCAUUUGUAAUCUGCGACUACAAGUGAGUCAAUAUUUCGAAUCAAUAUGAUUAAAAUAUAUUUUCGGAGAUUCAUCUUUGUCUCAUUGGAAUCAGUGUGCGAAUUGUCAACAAUUACAUUUAAAUCUGUAAUGCUUUCUCAAGUUGCACAUAGACCAGUUUUAUGUUUUGCGUAAAAGCUAAUCGUUUCUUUUAGAAUUUUGGCUGUCGAUCUGAUGAUAACAUGUAUUAUUGCGAUACGGGAUUUUCUUUGCAGCAAUAAAACAAUUAAUCUGCAUA